AUGACGUCAUGUCGCGACACUGGGCUCCGGGCGGCCGUGACCCUGCUGGAGUCCGGGGGGGACCUCCAGCCCCCCGGGGGGUCCCUGACUCUGCUCUGCCGCGCCUCUGGGUUCAAUUUUGGAAACCACGACAUGUACUGGAUCCGCCAGAGCCCAGGGAAGGGGCUGGAAUUUGUCGCGAGUAUCAACAACAAUGGUGGCACCACCCGAUACGCGCCGUCGGUGCACGGCUGGGCCUCGAUCUCCAGGGACAACGGGCAGAGCUCGGUGACGCUGACCAUGAACAACCUGAAGGACGAGGAUUCCGGUGCCUAUUUCUGUGCCAAAUGUUACACCAGUGGUUGUUAUGGUACUUAUGGUGCCCCCGAUUGGCUGAGUUGA